rnacentral:tRNA from 1 species
ACGUCCAUAGUCUAAGGGAUAGGACAGAGGUCUUCUAAACCUUUAGUAUAGGUUCAAAUCCUAUUGGACGUA